AUGAACCCUUGCGGCGUGCCUAAUCCCUGCCAGUCGCGCGAACAGACGAGGAGCUUGCUCCUUUGACGUUAGCGGCGGACGGGUGAGUAACACGUAGGUAACCUACCUAUAAGACUGGGAUAACUUCGGGAAACCGGAGCUAAUACCGGAUAAUAUUUCGAACCGCAUGGUUCGAUAGUGAAAGAUGGCUUUGCUAUCACUUAUAGAUGGACCUGCGCCGUAUUAGCUAGUUGGUAAGGUAACGGCUUACCAAGGCAACGAUACGUAGCCGACCUGAGAGGGUGAUCGGCCACACGGGAACUGAGACACGGUCCAGACUCCUACGGGAGGCAGCAGUAGGGAAUCUUCCGCAAUGGGCGAAAGCCUGACGGAGCAACGCCGCGUGAGUGAUGAAGGUCUUCGGAUCGUAAAACUCUGUUAUUAGGGAAGAACAAACGUGUAAGUAACUGUGCACGUCUUGACGGUACCUAAUCAGAAAGCCACGGCUAACUACGUG
rnacentral:rRNA from 1 species